UACAUGGGGUGCAAACGUUGCUCGGAAUUAUUGGGCGUAAAGCGCAGGUAGGCGGUUUGUUAAGUCGGAUGUGAAAUCCCUCGGCUCAACUGAGGAAGUGCACCCGAAACUGGCAGGCUUGAGUACUAAAGAGGGUCGCGGAAUUCCCGGUGUAGAGGUGAAAUUCGUAGAUAUUGGGAAGAACACCGAUGGCGAAGGCAGCCCCCUGGGCUAACACUGACGCUCAUGCACGAAAGCGUGGGGAGCAAACAGG
rnacentral:rRNA from 1 species